CGCAUCUGUGCAUGCAGCAUAUCAAUAAGCGGAGGAAAAGACUGCGGAACUGAACGACCACUACCUACGCUUAGGAUGUUGACGCGCGUGUGUGCGUGGUCUAUACAUGACUCUGUGCAUAUCAAUAAGCGGAGGAAAAGCGCAUUAAAGAUCCAGAUACCUACGCUUAGGUUGACGCGCGAUGCUGUGGGUCUACAUGACUAUGGCAUAUCAAUAAGCGGAGGAAAAGAAACUAACAAGGAUUCCCUUAGUAACGGCGAGUGAAGCGGGAAGAGCUCAAAUUUGAAAUCUUCAAGGUUUUACCUUGACGAAUUGUAGUUUAAAGAAGUGUUUUCUGUUGAAGUUUUGGUAAAAGUUCUUUGGAAUAGGACAUCAUAGAGGGUGAGAAUCCCGUAUUUGACCAUUAUUUUCAGCUGUGUGAUACACUUUCAAAGAGUCGGAUUGUUUGGGAAUGCAGUCCAAAAUGGGUGGUAAAUUUCAUCUAAAGCUAAAUAUUGGCGAGAGACCGAUAGCGAACAAGUACCGUGAGGGAAAGAUGAAAAGAACUUUGAAAAGAGAGUUAAACAGUACGUGAAAUUGUCAAAAGGGAAGCGUUUGACACCAGUGUUGUUUUCUCGAAAAUCAAUUAAAAAGAGUUAGAUUUUGUUGUGUAUUGACCUUAACAGCUUGCAUUUCAAUUUUCUUGCUUUUUUUAAUGCACUUUUCGUUUAACAAGUCAACAUCAGUUUCUUUUGUUGUAAAAAGGUCAUUGGAAGGUGGCUUUCUUUUCGGAGAAAGUGUUUAUAGCCUUUGACUCCUGCAAUCGGAGAGACUGAGGUCUGCAGCGUAGAUCCUUCGGGGUUAGAUACAUUUGUGCUAAGUUAUAGCUUUUUAUAGACAACUUGUUGACUAUGAUUAGUCUUGUAGCUUACUCGCUUAUGCUAUUUUACCUACGCUUAGGAUGUUGACGCGCGUGUGUGCGUG
rnacentral:rRNA from 1 species